rnacentral:rRNA from 1 species
CCUACGGGAGGCUGCAGUGAGGAAUAUUGGUCAAUGGUCGGGAGACUGAACCAGCCAAGCCGCGUGAGGGAGGAAGGUACAGAGUAUCGUAAACCUCUUUUGUCAGGGAACAAAGGCGGGGACGUGUCCCCGGAUGAGUGUACCUGAAGAAAAAGCAUCGGCUAACUCCGUGCCAGCAGCCGCGGUAAUACGGAGGAUGCGAGCGUUAUCCGGAUUUAUUGGGUUUAAAGGGUGCGCAGGCGGUCUGUUAAGUCAGCGGUAAAAGCCCGGGGCUCAACCCCGUCCAGCCGUUGAAACUGGCAGUCUCGAGUUGGAGAGAAGUAUGCGGAAUGCGUGGUGUAGCGGUGAAAUGCAUAGAUAUCGCGCAGAACUCCGAUUGCGAAGGCAGCAUGCCGGCUCCACACUGACGCUGAGGCACGAAAGCGUGGGUAUCGAACAGGAUUAGAUACCCUAGUAGUC